rnacentral:rRNA from 1 species
UGGGGAAUUUUGGACAAUGGGCGCAAGCCUGAUCCAGCCAUGCCGCGUGCGGGAAGAGGGCCUUCGGGUUGUAAACCGCUUUUGUCAGGGAAGAAAUCUUCUGAGUUAAUACCUCGGGAGGAUGACGGUACCUGAAGAAUAAGCACCGGCUAACUACGUGCCAGCAGCCGCGGUAAUACGUAGGGUGCAAGCGUUAAUCGGAAUUACUGGGCGUAAAGCGUGCGCAGGCGGUUUUGUAAGACAGAGGUGAAAUCCCCGGGCUCAACCUGGGAACUGCCUUUGUGACUGCAAGGCUUGAGUGCGGCAGAGGGGGAUGGAAUUCCGCGUGUAGCAGUGAAAUGCGUAGAUAUGCGGAGGAACACCGAUGGCGAAGGCAAUCCCCUGGGCCUGCACUGACGCUCAUGCACGAAAGCGUGGGGAGCAAACAGGAUUAGAUAGCCCUGGUAGUCCACGCCCUAAACGAUGUCAACUGGUUGUUGGGAAGGUUCCUUCUCAGUAACGUAGCUAACGCGUGAAGUUGACCGCCUGGGGAGUACGGCCGCAAGGUUG